UGCCAGACUCCUACGGGAGGCAGCAGUGGGGAAUAUUGCACAAUGGGCGAAAGCCUGAUGCAGCAACGCCGCGUGAAGGAAGACGGUUUUCGGAUUGUAAACUUCUGUUCUUAGUGAAGAAUAAUGACGGUAACUAAGGAGCAAGCCACGGCUAACUCCGUGCCAGCAGCCGCGGUAAUACGGAGGAUGCGAGCGUUAUCCGGAUUUAUUGGGUUUAAAGGGUGCGUAGGCGGAAUGCCAAGUCAGCGGUAAAAUCGCGGGGCUCAACCUCGCUCCGCCAUUGAAACUGGCGUUCUUGAGUGGGCGAGAAGUAUGCGGAAUGCGUGGUGUAGCGGUGAAAUGCAUAGAUAUCACGCAGAACUCCGAUUGCGAAGGCAGCAUACCGGCGCCCAACUGACGCUGAAGCACGAAAGCGUGGGUAUCGAACAGGAUUAGAUACCCCUGUAC
rnacentral:rRNA from 1 species